UCCUAACUGACGAGUCCCAAAUAGAACGAAAUGCGCGUCAUGCUA
rfam:Schistosoma mansoni strain Puerto Rico chromosome W, complete genome